GUCUCCUGCAUUGUGGCAGAGUGGAGUGGCUGGAGUCGCUGUGCCAAACCCUGUCAGGUCUCCUACCGUGUCCGCAGGAGGCAUGUCCUGCAGGAGCCAAGGAAUGGGGGUGCUCCCUGCCCCCAUUUGGAAGAGCAGGCUGGCUGCGUGGAGUACCGGAGCCACCAGGGAGUGGAGUGCCAGCAGUCCUUGUUCCCUGCUCUGAUAACCACAGGCAGAUACGGGAAAGAACGGAAAAAGCAAAUUGUCCCCAAGGGGCAGGAGAUAUUAGGGUACUGUGUCCAGUUCCAGCUGGGACCCAUUCCAGGGAGCUGCCGGCAGGUGAGGGCACCCCAUGCCCAGUGGACGAAGUAUCUGACCCAGGGCCACCUGGUCUGUGUCAGGUGUGAGUGGCCUGCCCAGGAUGCCAGGAGCCGACGUUGCCACGGGGACGGCGGCGGGGCCAGAGAGAACCAGCUGUUGCUGUGGCAAGCGGCCGGCCACCCCCGGUGCCGAGGGACGUGGGAGAGGCUUGGGCAGGUCCCGGACUGUUCCUGCCCAGAGGUCCAUAGCCUCAUCUUCAUCUAGCGUCUCGGCCCCCUAACUGCCAAGACCCCCCCCUUUCCAAGGCCUCCCAGGGAGCCUCCCGUUCCAGAGCUUGGGAUCCACAGGGUCAGGAAGUAGAGAGGAGCCUGCAGAUAUGGGACUGAAGGAAUAAGCCUCGUCCUUAUGUUGACACUGAAGAUAGCUUUAUGUUUCUACUCGGUGCCAACUGGUCAGAGCCUUGCGAACAUCUCCCCGCAGUUCCCGGCUCCCCAAAUGUCCUCUCCUACACACACACUGGUGGCUUUUGCUUUGUCCUCCUCACCUAUACACUUACUUUUUAUGGACUCUCCUCUCCUCCCCAUUUUUUCCACUUAAAUAAAUUUAUUUUAAAAGGCAGCUUAAAUACGUGUGUUUAAAGACGAAUGUUCUAUCAAGCUAGAAAUGAAAAUAAAUAAUAGUAGUCAACAUUUAUUAAAUGUCUACAGAGUGCCAAGCGCUGUUCUGGCUCUUUUCACCUAUUGACUCCUUGGACUCUGAGUUCGGUGCAAUUACAUCCCCAUUUUACAUGUGAGGAAAGGGAGGCACAGAGAGGUUAGAUCA